GUCCACGUUUUCCUAUCCUGGCCGUUGGUGUGUUGUGAUCGCACCCGUUCGUUGUUCCAGCGCAGCCGCCCCCGUCCCUCUUCUCAUCCCCACCACUGCAGCUGCUGCUUCCUGUCAAUCCGGCUUCCUACGGCCAAAUCGCCGCCGCCGUCUCCAUUCUCUCCGCAGAACCGGCGCCCCUUGGUGGAUCUCGCAUCGUACCUGCAGAUAGGUGGCGGCACUGGGCCGGCAGAGGCAGAGGACGCGGUGUGCGCGCUGUGUACUGCAGUGAGAGCCAGCCUGCAGAAUACGGGGGGCGCUGCUGGUCAGGGAGCGGAGCCGCGCGUCGGCUCGGCGGCUUGACGACGCGCCGGGCGGAGAUGAGGCCCGCGGCGUCUGGACACGCGGCGGCCUGGCGACGAGGAGACAGGGGCUGGAAGCGCGGCCGUUGGAGGUUAUCUCCUUCCCUUUGUUUGCGCUGAUGCUUGAGCACAUGAAUUUGUUCUAGGCAAACGAGGGAUUACCUACUCCCACACCGCGCCUUCCUUCCUCCUCCUUCUCUUUUCUUUUUCUUCGUGUUUUCACUCGGUAGGUAAGUGAUGAAGAAGAUCCGCCUGUCGAAGCACAACGACACGUUCUAGCGGACUGCUUACCAGGAGAUAUAUCUGAUGGCGAGCCUCUGCAGCAACCCCCACAUCAUCGAGUGCAAGGACGGAUGGGUCGACGAGAGGACCUCUGCGUGCAUCUUUACAAGUUGUUGCGAAGGAGGUGAAAUGGGUUCACCAGAGCGGCGAGAUCAAGAAGGCAAGGGGCGUCCUAUUUUCUGAAGAAGUAAGAACACUGGUGUAGUCUGUAGUGUUUACAGUGUUUACACCUACAGACAUGAGCAGUAGACAAGGAAUUGUUCAGAGUUCAGAAACUUACCUUCCUGUUUGGUACUACUAAUUGUGUUAUCUGAAGAGGGUUUGCUGGUGGUUCACACAAUUGCUAUUGUUCCUUAGCUAUCUGCACUGCAAUCGUGUGCUACGCCAUCACUUCAAGUGUUCCAAUAUCUUGUUAACAAAAGAUCGACAAACUGCAAGCAAAGUUGUCGAAGCAAAAGAAGCAGCUCUCUGCAGAUGCCUGAAUAUCCUAAACUCCCUUCACCUAUAAUUUUAACCUGGUGUUAACUAUAUUUACUUGAUUCAUUUCGAUAGAGGUGGUCUCUUUUUGCCAUGUAUCAAAAUAUUCACUUGCGACGGGUGCUGAGAACCUGGCCAAGGGAAUACAGUGGUGCGGCGAGAUGAUGGUGGAGAGCCUCUGGUGGGGGAACAAAGGCCUCGGGAAGAGGAUCCAGCCCGGUGAUGCUGACGCUGAGGUCAGCCUGGAGAUGUUGAGAAGGAUAAAAAGGUCCAAUGGCUUUUGCCGAAAAGAUUGUCUUGGCUGUGUUUGGGGUAAAUUAUCAAACUUAUUUUUGUUUGCGGAGGCAAGUUCUAAUUAGGUUUUAUGGCCAGAAUUGUGUUCAUGCUACUUCAAGUGAAUCUGGUGCUUCAUUUGUCCAAAUUCUGAAUAUCUCUUUGGCAUAGUCUUGCCACCAAUCAGUCUAAUAUAUUUAUUUAAGAUGCCAUUGUCUAGGUGUGAAUAUGUAAAUAUAUUCGUUGUCAAAUUUGUUCUA